UAGGGAAUCUUCCGCAAUGGACGCAAGUCUGACGGAGCAACGCCGCGUGAGUGAAGAAGGAUUUCGGUUCGUAAAACUCUGUUGUUAGAGAAGAACAGCGCAUAGAGUAACUGUUAUGCGUGUGACGGUAUCUAACCAGAAAGCCACGGCUAACUACGUGCAAGCAGCCGCGGUAAUACGUAGGUGGCAAGCGUUGUCCGGAUUUAUUGGGCGUAAAGCGAGCGCAGGCAGUGAAUUAAGUCUGAUGUGAAAGCCCCCGGCUCAACCGGGGAGGGUCAUUGGAAACUGGUUGACUUAAGUGCAGAAGAGGAGAGUGGAAUUCCAUGUGUAGCGGUGAAAUGCGUAGAUAUAUGGAGGAACACCAGUGGCGAAGGCGACUCUCUGGUCAGAAACUGACGCAGAGGCUCGAAAGCGUGGGUAGCAAACAGG
rnacentral:rRNA from 1 species